rnacentral:rRNA from 1 species
CGCGGCCUAUCAGCUUGUUGGUGGGGUGAUGGCCUACCAAGGCGACGACGGGUAGCCGGCCUGAGAGGGCGACCGGCCACACUGGGACUGAGACACGGCCCAGACUCCUACGGGAGGCAGCAGUGGGGAAUAUUGCAUAAUGGGCGCAAGCCUGAUGCAGCGACGCCGCGUGAGGGAUGACGGCCUUCGGGUUGUAAACCUCUUUCAGCAGGGAAGAAGCCUUUUCGGUGACGGUACCUGCAGAAGAAGCACCGGCUAACUACGUGCCAGCAGCCGCGGUAAUACGUAGGGUGCGAGCGUUGUCCGGAAUUAUUGGGCGUAAAGAGCUCGUAGGCGGCUUGUCGCGUCGGAUGUGAAAGCCCGGGGCUUAACUCCGGGUCUGCAUUCGAUACGGGCAGGCUAGAGUUCGGUAGGGGAGAUCGGAAUUCCUGGUGUAGCGGUGAAAUGCGCAGAUAUCAGGAGGAACACCGGUGGCGAAGGCGGAUCUCUGGGCCGAUACUGACGCUGAGGAGCGAAAGCGUGGGGAGCGAACAGGAUUAGAUACCCUGGUAGUCCACGCCGUAAACGUUGGGAACUAGGUGUGGGUCACAUUCCACGUGGUCCGUGCCGCAGCUAACGCAUUAAGUUCCCCGCCUGGGGGAGUAC